rnacentral:lncRNA from 1 species
UUAGCCUAAACGAAAAAUUAUUGAGUAGUCCUCCUUGCUCCACAUCCACUUAAAUGAACAGCUUGAAUUCAAAGAGGAGAUAAGUAUUUAAACUCCUUUUCGCAGGGAACCAAACCCUAGCCGACAGAGGGGUGACCAGAGAAGAAGAACCCCAGCCGGAAAGGAAGACCGGUGAAGUUGUCGUACCCGUUGAUCCCCUUCACCAGUAGGUUUCGAUUUUUUAACUUUUCCGACU